rnacentral:rRNA from 1 species
AGCGAACGCUGGCGGCAGGCCUAACACAUGCAAGUCGAACGGACCCUUCGGGGUUAGUGGCGGACGGGUGAGUAACACGUGGGAACGUGCCUUUAGGUUCGGAAUAGCUCCUGGAAACGGGUGGUAAUGCCGAAUGUGCCCUUCGGGGGAAAGAUUUAUCGCCUUUAGAGCGGCCCGCGUCUGAUUAGCUAGUUGGUGAGGUAAUGGCUCACCAAGGCGACGAUCUGUAGCUGGUCUGAGAGGAUGACCAGCCACAUUGGGACUGAGACACGGCCCAAACUCCUACGGGAGGCAGCAGUGGGGAAUCUUGCGCAAUGGGCGAAAGCCUGACGCAGCCAUUGCCGCGUGGAUGAUGAAGGUCUUAGGAUUGUAAAAUCCUUUCACCGGUGAAGAUAAUGACUGUAGCCGGAGAAGAAGCCCCGGCUAACUUCGUGCCAGCCGCCGCGGUAAGAC